rnacentral:misc_RNA from 1 species
GAAUCCCUUUUCUUUUCUUUUCAAUAUCAUCCCAUCCAUGACUCCAUGCCACCUUAAAUCUCCUAAAAUCUCAUCCUUGACAGGCGUCGACUCCUUUGCCUUUAGCCACACUCUCCUCUAUCCUCACAAAUCCAGCUCUCCCAUUUUUAGAUUCCCUCACGUCAUUCUCUACUCUGCCUAUAACUCGCCUUUUCACUCCUUCCUUAUAACCUUAGUCAUUCUUCACCAAUGCUUUGCAUUCUUUCAUGCCUUUUCAUAGCCUUCAUUUUGCUUAAUAUCUUGAAGCGUUUCAAAUCCUCGCGCUCACAGAUCGUGCUUUGCCUGUUGUGAAGGAAGGUUCUUGAAUCUUCACAUCCACAGAAUCAGCCUCUCUCACCUCUGUUUCUCAAAGUCUCAUACUUGUUCUUCCUCUCACUAGUCGCCCUCCCUCUGCCUUUCUUUUAGUUCUUUAGUAAUUGAAUUUUGUGUUCAUCUGAGUUGAAAUUUAGUUAAUUGAUUUAUAUUCUAAUCAAUUUUGUUAAUUGGACUGAAAUUCAGCCUCCCUCCACCUUUCUCAUCUCAUUCUCUAGCUCUUCAUCUCACUUAGAACUCAUGCAGUUCAAUUCUUCAUUGGUUGAUAUUUUGUCUCAUCCUUUUCACUUGGUUUGUUAUCUGCAUGAAAUUUGUUAACUGGUUUUUGUGGGAUUGAAAUAAUUUUGUUAAUUUAGGUUUGUU